rnacentral:ncRNA from 2 species
GAGGUGAGUAGUGGCGCGUUGCAUCAUCAGUACCGCGGGGAGAGCCCGAGAAGCUCUGGGAACCGUACGGGAAAGGGAUCAUCGCCGAAGUCUGGGCCUGUUCACGGAAGGCGCACGGCUGGGUCUGCAUUUAAGAGAUGCAGAACUGUCACACAGGAACGACCCCGCGCCUGUGUGGAGAACUAUCUCACAU